rnacentral:rRNA from 1 species
CCUACGGGUGGCAGCAGUCGAGAAUCAUUCACAAUGGGGGAAACCCUGAUGGUGCGACGCCGCGUGGGGGAAUGAAGGUCUUCGGAUUGUAAACCCCUGUCAUGUGGGAGCAAAUUAAAAAGAUAGUACCACAAGAGGAAGAGACGGCUAACUCUGUGCCAGCAGUCGCGGUAAUACAGAGGUCUCAAGCGUGGUUCGGAAUCACUGGGCGUAAAGCGUGCGUAGGCUGUUUCGUAAGUCGUGUGUGAAAGGCGCGGGCUCAACCCGCGGACGGCACAUGAUACUGCGAGACUAGAGUAAGGGAGGGGGAACCGGAAUUCUCGGUGUAGCAGUGAAAUGCGUAGAUAUCGAGAGGAACACUCGUGGCGAAGGCGGGUUCCUGGACAUUAACUGACGCUGAGGCACGAAGGCCAGGGGAGCGAAAGGGAUUGGAUACCCCAGUAGUC